rnacentral:rRNA from 1 species
GAUGAACGCUGGCGGCGUGCUUAACACAUGCAAGUCGAACGAUGAAGCCCAGCUUGCUGGGUGGAUUCGUGGCGAACGGGUGAGUAACACGUGAGUAACCUGCCCUUAACUCUGGGAUAAGCCUGGGAAACUGGGUCUAAUACCGGAUAGAAGCGCCUACCGCCUGGUGGGUGUUGGAGAGAUUUAUCGGUUUUGGAUGGACUCGCGGCCUAUCAGCUUGUUGGUGAGGUAUUGGCUCACCAAGGCGACGACGGGUAGCCGGCCUGAGAGGGUGACCGGCGACACGGGGACUGAGAGACGGCGCAGACUCGAACGGGAGGCAGUAGUGGGGAAUAUUGCACAAUGGGCGAAAGCCUGAUGCAGCGACGCCGCGUGAGGGAUGACGGCCUUCGGGGUGUAAACCUCUUUCAGUAGGGAAGAAGCGAAAGUGACGGUACCUGCAGAAGAAGCACCGGCUAACUACGUG